UCUGCGGUAAUCACACCUAUCAGUGUGGUCAUCGCUCUCCGUCACACGGGCAGGUUUGGGACACCGAACCUAAUCGGCUUGUGCGGACAUAAAUAUCGAGUGGUCGGCUUGUGCUUCACCGUCGGCGUUUUUUGGUCUUCGCGAUGGCAGCACAGGCAGCGGUCGCAGGCGCCGGUUUUGUGAAGGAGGUGCUUCCUCCGUCCCUCGAUUCGUCCUCGGAACCACCUGCUCUGUUCGACGGCACCUCCAGGUUGUAUAUAGCCUAUAUAUGCCCAUUUGCACAACGCACCUGGAUAACUAGGAAUGUUAAGGGAUUGCAGGAAAAGAUCAAAUUAGUUCCGAUCGAUCUGCAAAAUAGGCCAGCGUGGUACAAGGAGAAGGUUUAUUCUGCUAAUAAGGUGCCUUCUCUGGAGUAUAACAAUGAGGUGAAAGGAGAGAGUUUGGAUCUAAUUAAAUAUAUUGAUGAAGCAUUUGAAGGUCCUGCUCUGCUGCCUGAUGAUCCUGCAAAGCGACAGUUUGCAGAGGAGUUGUUUUCUUACACUGAUGACUUCAGCUUGGCCAAUUACAAGUCAUUGCCUUCGCCGGCUGAUAUCGGUGAUGAAGUAGUUGCUGCUUAUGAUAAGAUAGAAGAUGCCCUUUCAAAGUUUGAUGAUGGACCAUUUUUCCUCGGCCAAUUUAGUUUGCCCUGGACAAAAUCAUGCCACGCUAGAAGUCUAGAAGACCGAAAAAGAUUUGUCAUCAACUAGCCAAUGCCUUGUAAUCUUCGUCAGGAGAUAUGAAUGACAGAUUUUAACACUUUGCAUUAUCCAAAUUGCUGGUUGACAUCGCAUAUGCUCCAUUUAUUGAGAGAUUCCAGAUCUUCUUUGCUGAGUUGAAGAACUAUGACAUUACCAGUGGCAGGCCUAAACUGGCACUAUGGAUUGAGGAGUUGAACAAGAUUGAUGCCUAUAAACAUACCCGACAAGAUCCUCAAGAGCUACUGGCUAGAAUGAAGAAGCGCUUAGGGAUUGCCUGAUGAAUCCACCUUACUAGUUUUUUAGAUAUUGCCAGCAGCGCGGUUGUGAUCUCGAAUCUGGGAGCUUUCCGGACACAGAUCUUUGCCUGACCUGCUAAACUAGUACAAGUAUUAGCAAAGUGUGCUGUAUGCUAAUUGCAUCUGCUUGCAGUUGCUAUGUGCUGUUCUCCUGUAUAAUUGACUGGUAAAUAUUCAAUGUUAUGAUCCUGGAUUCCGAAUUCCCACAA